rnacentral:rRNA from 1 species
UACGGAGGGGGCUAGCGUUGUUCGGAAUUACUGGGCGUAAAGCGCGCGUAGGCGGACCUGCAAGUCGGGGGUGAAAGCCCGAGGCUCAACCUCGGAACUGCCUUCGAUACUGCGGGUCUCGAGUCCGGGAGAGGUGAGUGGAAUUCCUAGUGUAGAGGUGAAAUGCGUAGAUAUUGGGAGGAACACCAGUGGCGAAGGCGGCUCACUGGACCGGAACUGACGCUGAGGCGCGAAAGCGUGGGGAGCAAACGGG